GCUGAGCACUGUAGCAUGCUUGUAGUCCCAGCUACUUAGGAGGCUGAGACAGGAGGAUCACUUGAGCCCAGGAGUUUAAGGCCAGCCUGGGCAAUGUAAUGACAUCCUAGCUCAA
rnacentral:sRNA from 1 species